GAUGAACGCUGGCGGCGUGCCUAACACAUGCAAGUCGAACGAAGCGCUUUGAAGUUUUCGGACAGAUGAGUGACUGAGUGGCGGACGGGUGAGUAACGCGUGGGUAACCUGCCUCAUACAGGGGGAUAACAGUUAGAAAUGACUGCUAAUACCGCAUAAGUGCACAGCUUCGCAUGAAGCAGUGUAAAAAACUCCGGUGGUAUGAGAUGGACCCGCGUCUGAUUAGCUAGUUGGUGGGGUAACGGCCGUACCAAGGCGACGAUCAGUAGCCGGACCUGAGAGGGUGAACGGGCCACAUUGGGACUGAGACACGGCCCAAACUCCUACGGGAGGCAGCA
rnacentral:rRNA from 1 species